GGAGGCCUUCUUUUAUCACUGUUCAGCUCACACUGGGUUUUCCAUUUUUAAGCCUCUCGUGCCCCCUGGAGCAUGGAUACAAACAUAUCACCUCAAGGGAACAGGCAGGGACUGGGGGUGCUAAUGCGGAAUACACCCCAUCACCUCCUGGAUGUGAGACUUCCUUAUUGGGGCUGAGAGAGCAGCUGGGAGACAAAUCAGGAAGACUUGGAGGUCUCUUUGAAGCAUGGCUCAGAAACGCAUGACUACAAUUUUUUAGCUUCCUGUGCCUAUAGGCCCUGAGGCUCUGGUGCCAAUGGGCAGAGAGGGCAGCUAAGUCAAGCCCAGCCUGACCCCCACCCCAGCUGCAUUCCCCAAAUGCCUGCCUGACCUGAGGUGAAGAAGACCCAGCAGCAGAUCAGCAGGGCAGCAGGCCUCCAACCCUCUUCCUCAAGGAUGGGGUGACAGUUUCAGUUUCGGAAUUUUCAAACCUAUCCACUCUUGCCUCAUUUGGAGAAAGAAGAAAAUGUGUUAAUGGACCCUUCUCUGCUGCUGAGGAAGACAACAGCUUAUGACAGAGCUUCCAAAAUUAUGUUGCUGUUUCCUUUUCUUCCAUUCUUCGCCCUUGAGGAUUUAUGGAAAAGAGUAAAGAUUUCAAGAGGCGACCUGCUGUUGGAUGGCCUGGUGGCAGGCAGGUUGCUCACAUAUGGCAGGGAGAGGGGCAGGAAGUGGUAUGAAGAGGGCACACUUCCUGGACAUCUUAUGUUGCAGAUGGGGCAACUGAAGGCUGGAGAGGGGAAGAUGUGCCAAGAAACACAGUAUAUUAGUAAAGAAGAGGAACCAGAACCCCAGAACCCUGCUUCCCACUGCCAAUAUUCCUAGGUGUUCCUGCUCCCAGGCUCAAAACCAUUGUGGAAACUGAAGACUCAUGAGCAUACAAAAGAAUCAUGUUCUAAUAGUGGGGUUCUGAGCACUGUCCCAACUGUUUUCUUGGGCCUUCCUGGCCCCUCUACUAGCCUCAGAUGUUUCUCAGCCAUAAGAAUCUGCCUAUUUGUUAGUCGUUUAGAAAAUUUCAUGGAGAGAAGUGGUACAGAAUUCAAGUGAAGUCCCAGAAGGGAGGGGACCUGAGGUGGGGCAGCAGCCCAUUUCAAAGUUUAUCUGCACUCUGUGAACUAGAUAGGGUCAUCUUGUGUCCCAGCUGGGGAAUCUGUACCUCAGUGAGAUAAAGAGAUGGGCCAAGAGUUUUCCAGCUCAAUUCUACCCAUGUCUGCAAGAUCUAAUGCCAGUGUGUUUUUUCAAGUCCCCUCUGUGUGCCCAGACUGUGGAGUUUCCUGCUGUCAAGGAGAUGUUGAAAGAGUGAGAUUUAAGUCAGAAGUAAAGGGAGCCAGUGGUCCAUUAAGUUUCAGUGCUAUAUAUACAGAUCACAGAUGUGUCCCAAGUUCAGGACAGAUGUGUGCAGCUGGAGCAGUCACAGGAGCUGAUGAA